GAGGAUACAGCUCAAAUGGUAGAGUGCAUGCCUAGGAUGUGCAAGGUCCUGGGUUCAAUCCCCAGUAUCUCCU
rnacentral:tRNA from 1 species